rnacentral:rRNA from 1 species
UACAGAGGGUGCAAGCGUUGUUCGGAAUUAUUGGGCGUAAAGCGCGUGUAGGCGGCCUUGUAAGUCGGGUGUGAAAGCCCUCAGCUCAACUGAGGAAGUGCGCCCGAAACUGCAUAGCUUGAGUACCGGAGAGGAUGGUGGAAUUCCCCAAGUAGAGGUGAAAUUCGUAGAUAUGGGGAGGAACACCGGUGGCGAAGGCGACCAUCUGGACGGAUACUGACGCUGAGACGCGAAAGCGUGGGUAGCAAACAGG